GUGGGGAAUCUUGCGCAAUGGGCGAAAGCCUGACGCAGCCAUGCCGCGUGAAUGAUGAAGGUCUUAGGAUUGUAAAAUUCUUUCACCGGGGACGAUAAUGACGGUACCCGGAGAAGAAGCCCCGGCUAACUUCGUGCCAGCAGCCGCGGUAAUACGAAGGGGGCUAGCGUUGCUCGGAAUUACUGGGCGUAAAGGGCGCGUAGGCGGACAGUUUAGUCAGAGGUGAAAGCCCAGGGCUCAACCUUGGAAUUGCCUUUGAUACUGGCUGUCUUGAGUACGGGAGAGGUGAGUGGAACUCCGAGUGUAGAGGUGAAAUUCGUAGAUAUUCGGAAGAACACCAGUGGCGAAGGCGACUCACUGGCCCGUUACUGACGCUGAGGCGCGAAAGCGUGGGGAGCAAACAGGAUUAGAACCCCUGUAGUCC
rnacentral:rRNA from 1 species